rnacentral:hammerhead_ribozyme from 1 species
GUACUUCCGAAGAGUCCCAAAAUGGGACGAAACGGCUGUCCAAUAC